GUGGAAAGAGAAUGCUAAAGUAGUUGUUGGAUACAAAGGCAGUGAAGACAGUACUCAUAGUACUGGAUCCAGUAAAGGUUCCCAUUGCACAUAUGUGCUAGUCAUUCCCGACUCUAGGGGGCAUUGCUCAUCUCCGUUUCAAAGCCGAAGAGCCAGCGCUGUCGUCUCCGUGGUCAUGUGGCUGGCAUGACUAAGCGCCAAAGGCUCAUGGAACGCUAUUACCUUCCCAGCAAAGGUGCUAGGUUGGCAGAAGCUGGGACAAGUAACAGGAGCUCACCCCCAUUACGCGGCACUAUGGAUUUGAACCGUUGAACUGCCGACCUUUCGAUCGACAAACUCAGCAUCUUAGCCACUAAGCCACCGUGUCCCUGGAUCCAGUUCUACCUGCCCUAAAAUGGAAGAA